UACGGAGGGUGCGAGCGUUGUCCGGAAUCACUGGGCGUAAAGGGCGCGUAGGCGGCGCGGGCAGUCAACGGUGAAAGUUCGGGGCUCAACCCUGAAUCGGCCGUCGAUACUCCCGAGCUCGAGCACUGUAGAGGCAGAUGGAAUUCCGGGUGUAGCGGUGGAAUGCGUAGAGAUCCGGAAGAACACCGGUGGCGAAGGCGGUCUGCUGGGCAGUAGCUGACACUGAGGCGCGACAGCGUGGGGAGCAAACAGG
rnacentral:rRNA from 1 species